CUGGUCUUGACAUCCCGGUGACGUAUGAGCAAAGUCAUAUUUCCUUCGGGACACCGGAGACAGGUGGUGCAUGGUUGUCGUCAGCUCGUGUCGUGAGAUGUUGGGUUAAGUCCCGCAACGAGCGCAACCCCUAUUUCCAGUAGCCAGCAUUUAAGAUGGGCACUCUGGAGAGACUGCCUGGGAUAACCAGGAGGAAGGCGGGGAUGACGUCAAAUCAUCAUGCCCCUUAUGAUCAGGGCUACACACGUGCUACAAUGGCGUAAACAAAGGGAAGCGAGACGGUGACGUUAAGCAAAUCCCAAAAAUAACGUCCCAGUUCGGAUUGUAGUCUGCAACUCGACUACAUGAAGCUGGAAUCGCUAGUAAUCGCGAAUCAGAAUGUCGCGGUGAAUACGUUCCC
rnacentral:rRNA from 1 species